AGCCGUUGCUGCUGCACCGAUUCUAAAAGUCCUGUAAAUAUAGAAGGGUUGAAACCAAGUCUUAUGAAGAGUCCUAAUGUACAAUAUAACUUGUUAUUUUGCUAAAUAUUUUUAGUUUCAAGUUUUCUUUUUCAUGGCGGUAUCAACAUUUAACAGAAGGGAAAAUAAAGCUUCCAAAUUGUGAUCGUUGUAGCUGGUCUCGCAGGACCCAAAACCUGUGUAUAUGGCAAGUGACUGUGGGACUUGCAGGUCCCCACUGAAAAGUGCAUUACGAUUGGUUAUCUUGAACUAGUGCACAAAGGAUCCGCAGGUCUCUUUUAUCUCUUGGAUUCAUG